rnacentral:lncRNA from 1 species
AUAAUGUUGAAAUUAACUGUUGAUUUGAAUGGCAGGAUAUAUAGAAAAGAUGGGUGGUAUGAGGUUGGGUGUGUUGGUGAUGGUGGUGGUAUUGGUGAUGAGCAGUUGCACGGCGGAGGGAAGGAGAGUGGCGGCGGGAGAAAAGGCGGCGGCGGAUGAGCAGAAGGUAGUAGAUGAUGAUGGAGUUGCAAGUACCUUAGAUAACCACCACGCUUGCUCCAUGGCCGACUUCAGCAAGGGUACCUGUGAUCCUGCCUGAUCACAAAAUGAUGAGAGAGAGAGAUAGUCAGUGUGUAUACAAUUAAGUUGCUUUUUUUUAAAAAUAAUACUAAUAAUUAAAUAAAAGAAAUAAGCUGAGUUUGUUUCUAAUGAGCUACGGCCUAUGGCAGAUAUGUGUGUAUGUACAAAAUACUAUGAUAUGCUCAUAUGGUGGCAACAUAUAUAAGGGACUAUUGUUGUUUAUUUGUUUCUUACUGUUAUUACGCAUGUGUUAAGAAUUAAUUAAGAGGAUAUUUGGUUUGAUA